rnacentral:rRNA from 1 species
GACGAACGCUGGCGGCGUGCCUAAUACAUGCAAGUAGAACGCUGAAGAGAGGAGCUUGCUCUUCUUGGAUGAGUUGCGAACGGGUGAGUAACGCGUAGGUAACCUGCCUGGUAGCGGGGGAUAACUAUUGGAAACGAUAGCUAAUACCGCAUAAAAUUGAUUAUUGCAUGAUAAUUAAUUGAAAGAUGCAACUGCAUCACUACCAGAUGGACCUGCGUUGUAUUAGCUAGUUGGUGAGGUAACGGCUCACCAAGGCGACGAUACAUAGCCGACCUGAGAGGGUGGUCGGCCACACUGGGACUGAGACACGGCCCAGACUCCUACGGGAGGCAGCAGUAGGGAAUCUUCGGCAAUGGGGGGAACCCUGACCGAGCAACGCCGCGUGAGUGAAGAAGGGUUUCGGAUCGUAAAGCUCUGUUGUAAGAGAAGAACGGGUGUGAGAGUGGAAAGUUCACACUGUGACGGUAUCUUACCAGAAAGGGACGGCUAACUACGUG